GAUGAACGCUGGCGGCGUGCCUAAUACAUGCAAGUCGAGCGAAUGGAUUAAGAGCUUGCUCUUAUGAAGUUAGCGGCGGACGGGUGAGUAACACGUGGGUAACCUGCCCAUAAGACUGGGAUAACUCCGGGAAACCGGGGCUAAUACCGGAUAACAUGUUGAACCGCAUGGUUCGAAAUUGAAAGGCGGCUUCGGCUGUCACUUAUGGAUGGACCCGCGUCGCAUUAGCUAGUUGGUGAGGUAACGGCUCACCAAGGCAACGAUGCGUAGCCGACCUGAGAGGGUGAUCGGCCACACUGGGACUGAGACACGGCCCAGACUCCUACGGGAGGCAGCAGUAGGGAAUCUUCCGCAAUGGACGAAAGUCUGACGGAGCAACGCCGCGUGAGUGAUGAAGGCUUUCGGGUCGUAAAACUCUGUUGUUAGGGAAGAACAAGUGCUAGUUGAAUAAGCUGCACCUUGACGGUACCUAACCAGAAAGCCACGGCUAACUGCGUGCCAGCCGCCGCCGUAA
rnacentral:rRNA from 1 species